rnacentral:rRNA from 1 species
GUGGGGAAUAUUGGACAAUGGGCGAAAGCCUGAUCCAGCCAUGCCGCGUGUGUGAAGAAGGUCUUCGGAUUGUAAAGCACUUUAAGUUGGGAGGAAGGGUAGUAACCUAAUACGUUGCUACUUUGACGUUACCGACAGAAUAAGCACCGGCUAACUUCGUGCCAGCAGCCGCGGUAAUACGAAGGGUGCAAGCGUUAAUCGGAAUUACUGGGCGUAAAGCGCGCGUAGGUGGUUCAGUAAGUUGGAAGUGAAAUCCCCGGGCUCAACCUGGGCACUGCUUUCAAAACUGCUGAGCUGUAGUACGGUAGAGGGUGGUGGAAUUUCCUGUGUAGCGGUGAAAUGCGUAGAUAUAGGAAGGAACACCAGUGGAGAAGGCGACCACCUGGACUGAUACUGACACUGAGGUGCGAAAGCGUGGGGAGCAAACAGGAUUAGAUACCCCUGUAGUCC